rnacentral:rRNA from 1 species
CAGGCAUUGCCCUAGUAACGGCGAGUGAAGCGGCAACAGCUCAAAUUUGAAAUCUGGCUCUCUUUGGGGGUCCGAGUUGUAAUUUGCAGAGGAUGCUUUGGCAUUGGCGGCGGUCUAAGUUCCUUGGAACAGGACAUCACAGAGGGUGAGAAUCCCGUACGUGGUCGCCUGCCCUUGCCGUGUAAAGCUCCUUCGACGAGUCGAGUUGUUUGGGAAUGCAGCUCUAAAUGGGAGGUAAAUUUCUUCUAAAGCUAAAUACUGGCCAGAGACCGAUAGCGCACAAGUAGAGUGAUCGAAAGAUGAAAAGUACUUUGGAAAGAGAGUCAAAAAGCACGUGAAAUUGUUGAAAGGGAAGCGCUUGCAGCCAGACUUGCCCGCAGUUGCUCACCUAGGCUUUCGCCUGGGGCACUCUUCUGCGGGCAGGCCAGCAUCAGUUUGGGCGGUUGGAUAAAGGCCUCUGUCACGUAUCUCCCUUCGGGGUGACCUUAUAGGGGAGGCGCAAUGCAACCAGCCCGGACUGAGGUCCGCGCAUCUGCUAGGAUGCUGGCGUAAUGGCUGUAAGCGGCCCGUCUUGAAACACGGACCAAGGAGUCUAACAUCUAUGCGAGUGUUUGGGUGUCAAGCCCGAGCGCGCAAUGAAAGUGAACGGAGGUGGGAACCCUUUGGGUGCACCAUCGACCGAUCCUGAUGUCUUCGGAUGGAUUUGAGUAAGAGCAUAGCUGUUGGGACCCGAAAGAUGGUGAACUAUGCUUGAAUAGGGUGAAGCCAGAGGAAACUCUGGUGGAGGCUCGCAGCGGUUCUGACGUGCAAAUCGAUCGUCAAAUUUGGGCAUAGGGGCGAAAGACUAAUC